CCCUCUACCACUCUCUCUCCCCCCCUCUCUACCUCUACCUCUCUCUCUCCCAGUCUUCUCUCCCUAUUCUUACCUAAUCACAGAUCAUUAGUUGCCAUGACAUUGUGAUUGUUUUAAUAUUAAAUGACUGCUAUCAUAGUUAUAUCAGAUUGUUAUCAGCUGGAUGGUGAAGCCACUAUUUUAAGGACCACGUUUUUCUGCGUCGCCAAACGCCACCCUAUUCCCUACAUAGUGCACUUGUUUUUCACAUGUUCUCUCAUCAGAAGAGUGGUUAGGUCCCAAAUGAUACCCUAUUCCCUAUAUUGUGCACUACUUUAGACCAGAGCCCUAUUCCCUAUAUAGUGCACUACUUUAGACCAGAGCCCUAUUCCCUAUUAUAGUACACUACUAUAGACCAGAGCCCUAUUCCCUAUAUAGUACACUACUAUAGACCAGGGCCCUAUUCCCUAUAUAGUACACUACUAUAGACCAGAGCCCUAUUCCCUAUAUAGUACACUACUUUAGACCAGGGCCCUAUUCCCUAUAUAGUACACUACUUUAGACCAGGGCCCUAUUCUCUAUAUAGUACACUACUGUAGACCAGAGCCCUAUUCCCUAUAUAGUACACUACUUUAGACCAGGGCCCUAUUCUCUAUAUAGUACACUACUGUUGACCAGAGCCCUAUUGGGGAAUAGGGGGCCAAUUGGGAUGUAGAAUGUAACUGAAACUGGUCAGUUUUGAAAUGUAUGUUUCUGAGGUUCUUAUUGGUUGUCUGAUUUUCUGACCGUGUCUGUGGUUGUUAUGGUUACCGUCUGGUCCUCUUUUGGUUGUUGUUUCUUUGUUCUGUUUUUCUCUUUUUGUGGUUUAACUGUCUGUGGCCAAUCAGAUGGCUCUGUGGUCAGGUUCUGGCCAAUCAGAUGGCUCUGUGGUCAGGUUCUGGCCAAACAGAUGGCUCUGUGGUCAGGUUCUGGCCAAUCAGAUGGCUCUGUGGUCAGGUUCUGGCCAAUCAGGUGGCUCUGUGGUCAGGUUCUGGCCAAUCAGGUGGCUCUGUGGUCAGGUUCUGGCCAAUCAGGUGGCUCUGUGGUCAGGUUCUGGCCAAUCAGGUGGCUCUGUGGUCAGGUUCUGGCCAAUCAGAUGGCUCUGUGGUCAGGUUCUGGCCAAUCAGAUGGCUCUGUGGUCAGGUUCUGGCCAAUCAGAUGGCUCUGUGGUCAGGUUCUGGCCAAUCAGGUGGCUCUGUGGUCAGGUUCUGGCCAAUCAGGUGGCUCUGUGGUCAGGUUCUGGCCAAUCAGGUGGCUCUGUGGUCAGGUUCUGGCCAAUCAGGUGGCUCUGUGGUCAGGUUCUGGCCAAUCAGGUGGCUCUGUGGUCAGGUUCUGGCCAAUCAGGUGGCUCUGUGGUCAGGUUCUGGCCAAUCAGGUGGCUCUGUGGUCAGGUUCUGGCCAAUCAGGUGGCUCUGUGGUCAGGUUCUGGCCAAUCAGGUGGCUCUGUGGUCAGGUUCUGGCCAAUCAGGUGGCUCUGUGGUGGUGUUGUGACUACUGCUGUCAAAGUACUCCUGGAGGACCCCUGGUGUUUCUGAUAGUUUAACUUCCGUCCAGCCCGGGAUUCAAUCAGAGGCGCAUUGUGGAUUAUUAGCACACCAAAUUAGACUGUUCAAUCUAAUGUCCACUUCCGCUGACAUCCACAGUGUUUACCAUCUCCACGAAGAUCAGAGAAAUUACCUGAAUUUGACCAGAAUGGCAUCCUAUUCCCUACAUAGUGCACUACAUUUGACCAGAAUGGCUCCCUAUUCCCUACAUAGUGCACUACAUUUGACCAGAAUGGCUCCCUAUUCCCUACAUAGUGCACUACAUUUGACCAGAAUGGCUCCCUAUUCCCUACAUAGUGCACUACAUUUGACCAGAAUGGCACCCUAUUCCCUACAUGGUGCACUACAUUUGACCAGAAUGGCAUCCUAUUCCCUAAAUAGUGCACUACAUUUGACCAAAGCCCUAAAAGUAGUCACUGUACAGGAAAUUGGGAGCCAUUUUGGACGUCCAUCAGUGCUUCUACCCCAAAUGGCUCCCUAUGUAGUGCAUUACCUUUGACCAGAGGCCAUAGGUGUCAGCCCUCCAGGUCUAGUCUGACUGUACAUCAGGCCUCCAGGUCUAGUCUGACUGUACAUCAGCCCUCCAGGUCUAGUCUGACUGUACAUCAGCCCUCCAGGUCUAGUCUGACUGUACAUCAGGCCUCCAGGUCUAGUCUGACUGUACAUCAGGCCUCCAGGUCUAGUCUGACUGUACAUCAGCCCUCCAGGUCUAGUCUGACUGUACAUUAGGUGUAGUCUGACUGUACAUCCGCCCUCCAGGUCUAGUCUGACUGUACAUCAGGCCUCCAGGUCUAGUCUGACUGUACAUCAGGCCUCCAGGUCUAAUCUGACUGUACAUCAGCCCUCCAGGUCUAGUCUGACUGUACAUCAGCCCUCCAGGUCUAGUCUGACUGUACAUCAGGUCUAGUCUGACUGUACAUCAGGCCUCCAGGUCUAGUCUGAUUGUACAUCAGCCCUCCAGGUCUAGUCUGACUGUACAUCAGCCCUCCAGGUCUAGUCUGACUGUACAUCAGCCCUCCAGGUCUAGUCUGACUAUACAUCAGCCCUCCAGGUCUAGUCUGACUAUACAUCAGCCCUCCAGGUCUAGUCUGACUAUACAUCAGCCCUCCAGGUCUAGUCUGACUGUACAUCAGCCCUCCAGGUCUAGUCUGACUGUACAUCAGGUCUAGUCUGACUAUACAUCAGCCCUCCAGGUCUAGUCUGACUGUACAUCCGCCCUCCAGGUCUAGUCUGACUGUACAUCAGCCCUCCAUGUCUAGUCUGACUGUACAUCAGGCCUCCAGGUCUAGUCUGAUUGUACAUCAGCCCUCCAGGUCUAGUCUGACUGUACAUCAGCCCUCCAGGUCUAGUCUGACUGUACAUCAGCCCUCCAGGUCUAGUCUGACUGUACAUCAGCCCUCCAGGUCUAGUCUGACUGUACAUCAGGCCUCCAGGUCUAGUCUGACUGUACAUCAGGCCUCCAGGUCUAGUCUGACUGUACAUCAGCCCUCCAGGUCUAGUCUGAUUGUACAUCAGCCCUCCAGGUCUAGUCUGAUUGUACAUCAGCCCUGCAGGUCUAGUCUGACUGUACAUCAGCCCUCCAGGUCUAGUCUGACUGUACAUCAGCCCUCCAGGUCUAGUCUGACUGUACAUCAGCCCUCCAGGUCUAGUCUGACUAUACAUCAGCCCUCCAGGUCUAGUCUGACUAUACAUCAGCCCUCCAGGUCUAGUCUGACUGUACAUCAGCCUGGUUAAAUGGAACUGGAUUUGUCACUCGCUGCUUCUCAAUGUUUUAUGGAGUGUGUAUAUAUAUUAUUAUAUGAUCACAUUUUAAAACGACUUGUGUUGACCUCUAAGUACCCUGGGAACUGUUAUGUGUUGACCUCUAAGUACCCUGGGAACUGUUAUGUGUUGACCUCUAAGUACCCUGGGAACUGUUAUGUGUUGACCUCUAAGUACCCUGGGAACUGUUAUGUGUUGACCUCUAAGUACCCUGGGAACUGUUUUGAUUGAGAAAAAAAUAAAAAUAGAUUUAUGUAAAA